rnacentral:rRNA from 1 species
GCUUGCACACACGGCGAAMCCGCGGACGGCUCAYUAAAUCAGUCGUGGUCCAAAUGGGCUAGUGUUAUCUUACUUGGAUAACUGUGGUAAUUCCAGAGCUAAUACAUGCAACUGUAAGUCCGAGCGGCUUGUGUGGCAACACACUCGCUGCGACGACYGCUUUUAUUAGACCAAACCGCUGAGAGAUGCGCACAUACUGUGUGUCUCGUAGACUCGUGUUAUGGUGACUCUGAAUAACACCUCAUGACAAGCGCACGUAUCCDUUUAUUUGGGACGGCGCUGCCACUUUCGAGUGUCUGCCUUAUCAGCUAUGUAUCGUUCGUUAUGUGCGACCGAUGGCUUUGACGGGUAACGGGGAAUCAGGGUUCGAUUCCGGAGAGGCAGCCUGAGAAACGGCUACCACGUCCAAGGACGGCAGCAGGCACGCAAAUUACCCAAUCCCAGCAACUGGGGGAGGUAGUGACGAAAUCUAACGAUGCGGGCGCCCCUUCUGGGGCCCCGCAAUCGGAAUGAGCGCUUCUUUCUAAACAUACCGUUGAGAACCUACUGAAGGGCAAGUCUGGUGCCAGCAGCCGCGGUAAUUCCAGCUUCAGCAGCAUCUACUAAAGUUGCUGCGGUUAAAAGGCUCGCAGUUGAAUGUCAGUAUCAAGUGCAGCGAUGGUGGACGUUGGAGUGUGGGUUAGUUAGUUGGCGGUCGUGCUUGGCUUCGGCUCUGUGCAGCGUCGGCUUCUGCUCGCUUUAACUCCCGUCCGUAACAAGCCUCCUCACUUGCUUACAAAAUGGAAUCUAAUGGUGGAAGUGUUUAUGUUGUUCAUUCGCGAGCUCUCGUGCGCGCUUGCUUUACGUGGGUGUGCCUUGGGUGAGUGGGUGACUGGGUCUCUGUAAGCUGGAUUUCAAUGUCACCUUGAGUAAAUCAGAGUGCUCAAAGCAGUCGUAAAGGAUGUGCGGCGUUAACGCGUCGUACGUUCUGUGAUGAAUGUCUAUUAUGACAGACGGUCUUGAUUUUGCAUGGUAUGUCGAAAGACGCCGUAUUUCCUGUUGGUAACGAGUCUGGUGCGGGCUUGCAUCCAGGGGCCUCUCUUUCUUUACGGAGAGGGUGCGUCUUUGAGUGUGACACACGAGACCMACASSUGCGGAAUGAUUMAAAGGUYCGGUCGMRGGCAUUGGUAAGCCUGCGGCUUAUUUGACUCAACACGGGCCAUCUCACCAGGCCAGCACUCUUGUACGAUUGACAGAUUGAGAGUUCUUUCUCGAUUCAGUGGAUGGUGGUGCAUGGCCGUUCUUAGUUGGUGGAGUGAUCUGUCUGGUUAAUUCCGAUAACGAACGAGACUCUYCCCUGCUAAAUAGUCGGUUGGAUUUUGCGUUCGAGGGUGUUGUGUGACUUGUGUUUGUGUGGGUGUGCUUUUAUGUGCGCUCGCGCGGCUCUUUGUUGCACCUCCCUCCAAGUCCGCCGCUUACUUACACAAGUGGAGUGUAACAGCGAAGCUAUAUGAGUAAAACUCUUCUUAGAGGGAUUCACGGUUCUGAAGCCGUAAGAAACUGAGAGCAAUAACAGGUCUGUGAUGCCCUUAGAUGUUCUGGGCCGCACGCGCGCUACAAUGCCGGGCACAGCAGGUAUCUAUCCUUCUCCGAGAGGAGUGGGUAACCCUCUGAAAGCCCUUGAAACAAUUUACCAGAGUAGAGUCAUCACUUCGUGUGUUGUCUCUGCUUCCUUGGCUUGCUUGGGCCUGUGGCUUGCAAUUUUUUCACACAAACGAGGAAUGCCUAGUAGCGGCGGAUCACUGAGUUCGCUGUGACUCAGUCCCUGCCCUUUGUACACACCGCCCGUCGCUACUACCGAUUGGGUGUACCAGUGAGAUCCUUGGACUGGCGAGCCUUGUGCUUUAGCAAUAGAGUGCAAGUGUGUACGACGGAAAGAGGUUCGAACUGGUGCACUAGAGGAAGUAAA